AACGAACGCUGGCGGCAUGCCUAACACAUGCAAGUCGAACGAGACCUUCGGGUCUAGUGGCGCACGGGUGCGUAACGCGUGGGAACCUGCCCUUAGGUUCGGAAUAACUCCCCGAAAGGGGUGCUAAUACCGGAUAAUGUCUUCGGACCAAAGAUUUAUCGCCUUUGGAUGGGCCCGCGUUGGAUUAGCUAGUUGGUAGGGUAAAAGCCUACCAAGGCGACGAUCCAUAGCUGGUCUGAGAGGAUGAUCAGCCACACUGGGACUGAGACACGGCCCAGACUCCUACGGGAGGCAGCAGUGGGAAAUAUUGGACAAUGGGCGAAAGCCUGAUCCAGCAAUGCCGCGGGAGUGAUGAAGGCCUUAGGGUUGUAAAGCUCUUUUACCCGGGAUGAUAAUGACAGUACCGGGAGAAUAAGCUCCGGCUAACUCCGU
rnacentral:rRNA from 1 species